rnacentral:rRNA from 1 species
UACGGUAGGGUGCAAGCGUUUGUCCGGAAUUAUUGGGGCGUAAAGAGCUCGUAGGCGGCUUGCACGUCGACUGUGAAAACCCGGGGCUCACUCCGGGCCUGCGUCGAUACGGGCUGGCUUGAGUGCGGUAGGGGAGGACUGGAAUUCCUGGUGAGCGGUGAAAUGCGCGAUAUCAGGAGGAACACCGGUGGCGAAGGCGGGUCUCUGGGCCGUAACUGACGCUGAGGAGCGAAAGCGUGGGGAGCGAACAGG